CUCUGCAAGCAUGGAGUUCAUUCCAGAGGAGGUUAGAAUCACUCAGCAUGAAGAGAGGGUGUAACAGGAUGUUGUCUCUGCUGAGGAAGUGGGGCUGCCACCCGAUGGAUUGGAUGGAUUGUCGGUCAUCCCCGCAGGAGAGGCUGGGCCAGGUUGUGGUGCGUCCAACCCCCAGCCCUCUGGGCAGACCGGUUGUGAUCUAAGUCAUUUCAAGGGUUUCUCAAUGGACCGAUUGCCAGAGGUUGGGGUGUCAAGAAUUUGGGGUAUCAAGGUUAAGUACAAAACAUGGAUCUUUGUCUGACAAGACAGGCUGGCCGCUGACUGUUAAAUACUUCCCCACAAAAGGGACAAGCCCGGAGCCAGGUUACCGGCCCACACCGCAAGACAGGCUUUCUUUUAGGAAAUGGACAAAGCUCUAUGACCAGAACAAGCACUUUGGGGAAUUUAAAUUUGCUUUCCCUGACACGACUCCACUUUCAUCACUACCCCUGAACUUAAGGGGCAUCCAAACCUCAGUCUCAGCAGAGGCUGGUGGGAUUCAGGCCACAUACCCCGGCACAUCAGCGUUCCGUUGUUACACAUUUGAAUACUCCCAAGCCAGUUGGUAAACAGUUGACUCUCCGGGACCCCUUGCACGUUUCCACGACUCAGCAAUCAACGUGGAGCUGAACUGGCUGUGAAGCGUUUUGAGCACUGCCCGUGUUUGUCUCACAGCCCUCACGGGAAUCCCGGUUAAUAUACUCAAUGAGCGGAGCCCUGAAAACCCCGCCUGCCACCUCGUGCAGCUGUGUCACUGGGAUGGACACAGGAAGCAAUGUGGGGUCUUUGCUGCCAGUGAGCUCCCGGUCUAGGAGAAGAGAGAGGAAGCAUCUUUAUCUGUGUUAUCCCAGGUACGCGUGCCAAUUAUAUGUCUGUAUCCUUAUCUGUGUCUACAUAUACACCUACAUCUACAUCUACAGUCAUAUCAAUAUCUAUACCCAUACCCAUAUCUCUAUAUUUCUACAUCUAUACCCAUAUCACAGCUGUGUCUAUAUCUGUUAAGUCAUUCUUGCAUUGCUAUAAAGAAAUACCUGAGACUGGGUCAUUUACAAAGAAAAGAGGUGGAAUUGGCUAACGGUUCUGCAGGCUGCGCAAACAUCGUACCAGCAUCUGCUCCGCUUCUGGGGAGGCCUCUGGGAGCUUUUGCUCAUGGCGGAAGGUGAAGCAGGAGCAGGUGUGUCACAUGGACAGAGCUGAAGUCAGAGAGAGAGAGAGUGGGUUGGGGGAGCUGCCACACACUUAAACACCCAGACCUCCUGAGAACUCACUCACCAUUGUGAGGACAGCACAAAGCCACGAGGGAUCUUCACCCACGAACUAAACCCCUCCCGCCAGACCCCAUCUCCAACACUGGAGAUUACAACUCAACAUGAGACUUGGGUGGGGACAAAUAUCUAAACUAUAUUACUAUAUCUAUAUCUAUAUACAUCUAUGUCCAUAGCUACAUCUAUGUCCACAUCUGUAUCUGUAAUCUGUGUGUUCAGAUAGAUACACAUGUCUUUUUACAAAGAAAAUAAAG
rnacentral:lncRNA from 1 species